GACGAACGCUGGCGGCGUGCUUAACACAUGCAAGUCGAACGGGAGUAUUGAAGAAGCUUGCUUUAGAGAUACUUUAGUGGCGGACGGGUGAGUAACGCGUGAGGAGCUGUCCGAUGCAGGGGGACAACAGUUGGAAACGACUGCUAAUACCCCAUAAGCCGAGAGGUAAAAGGAUUUAUCCGGCAAUGGAGGUACUCGCGUCCUAUCAGCUAGUAGGUGAGGUAACGGCUCACCUAGGCGAAGACGGGUAGCCGGCCUGAGAGGGCGAACGGCCACACUGGAACUGAGAUACGGUCCAGACUCCUACGGGAGGCAGCAGUGGGGAAUAUUGGGCAAUGGGGGAACCCUGACCCAGCGACGCCGCGUGGGUGAAGAAAUCCUUCGGGAUGUAAAGCCCUGUUGUAUGGGAAGAGCGGAAGACGGUACCAUACGAGGAAGCCCCGGCAAACUACGUG
rnacentral:rRNA from 1 species